AUUGAACGCUGGCGGCAGGCCUAACACAUGCAAGUCGAGCGGAUGAAGGGAGCUUGCUCCUGGAUUCAGCGGCGGACGGGUGAGUAAUGCCUAGGAAUCUGCCUGGUAGUGGGGGAUAACGUCCGGAAACGGGCGCUAAUACCGCAUACGUCCUGAUGGAGAAAGUGGGGGAUCUUCGGACCGCACGCUAUCAGAUGAGCCUAGGUCGGAUUGGCUAGUUGGUGGGGUAAAGGCCUACCAAGGCGACGAUCCGUAACUGGUCUGAGAGGAUGAUCAGUCACACUGGAACUGGGACACGGUCCUGGGUCCUGCGGGAGGCAGCAGUGGGGAAUGUUGGACAAUGGGCGAGAGCCUGAUCCAGCCAUGCCGCGUGUGUGGAGAAGGUCUUCGGAUUGUAAAGCACUUUAAGGUGGGAGGAAGGGCAGUAAGUUGAUACCUUGCUGUUUUGACGUUACCAACAGAAUAAGCACCGGCUAACUUCGUG
rnacentral:rRNA from 1 species